rnacentral:lncRNA from 1 species
CGUGUCACUCGGUUCUGCAAGGGCGGGUGCGGUCUGCGGUGCGCGGCACAGCCUCCUCUAGGGCUGUCACAGGAAAACCGAAGCCUCGCCUUAACCGCACCGAGCGACAAAGCGCCAGCACUCCCUGGGGCAGGGGCUUCCGGCGAGACCCCGAGGUCGGCCCAAACUUCGGGAAGAGUCACUCAGAGCGGCCAGAAUGCUCUAACCAACGCCCCCGCCCCUGCCGCGGCUGUGUAAGGUUUGCAGACGCACGUCCCGUGGGCCCCAAAAUACUCCACCCCCGCCAGCCUCUGGAAUCCCCCAUUCCGGCAGGGGACAAAGGAGGCAGAGAGGAACUCUCCAGCGCGGGGAGUCCCCGCUGGCCCGAGCUCAGAACGUGGGGAUAAAGGGCUGCAGUCUCCCAGAGGGGUGAGGAUCCGCGCCCCCGACUCAGGGACCGGCGUGACACUCACCGGUGCGGAGCCCCCGGAGAGGCGGGGAGCAGGGGGCCGGUUCCUCCGGGGCCCUGCACACGCCCGGGCGGACCCCAACUUCUCUCGGCUGCUGUCGCCGGCGGCAGCUAGGGGUCCAGCCCAGACCGUGGGCGCUGCCGGCUCAGCCCGCGAGGGGGGCGGGAACUCGGGGCCCGCGGUCCUCCGGCCAGGGCGGGCUCCACGUCCGUCUGCCCGCUACCGGCUGAGGCUGUGGCCGCGGCGAAAGCUAACGCUGCAGCCGCUCGGGCUACAGCUCCCACCACCGCCCGGACCCAAGCGCGUCGCGGCCUAAUGUUGUCAUCCGCCGAGUCGCCGCCUCUCUGAGCACCCACCGCCGCCAAGAUCCUUUACAUUCGGGCGCCCUCCCCCUCCAGGCCCCGCCCCCAGCCUGCGGGCUCCAGCCGCCAACACCCCCCCUUUCCCGUCACGUGAUGGCGCGCGGAGGCGGCCGCGGAGACGCCUCCCCUGCAGGCCUGGCGGGAGUCGCGCGGGAACAACUGUCAACACCUUGUUCUGCCAGAGUUUUAUCGCAUCCGAAUUGCCUCCGCACCCCCGAGGGCGGCUUCGGGAUUCGAGCCCACCGCCGCCCGCUCCGCGCCUGUGACCUACUGAGGCGUGGUCCGAGGAACUCUCCCCUCCCACCCCUGGUGAUGAAAGGAAAGGAAUACAAAUGCCAAUCUCCAGAGGAAAGAAAGCAACGAUACAGAAAUGAGGGAAGUAAGAAAGCAGAAAGAUCAUAA